GUCUACAGCCAUACCACCCUGAACAACACCCGAUCUUGUCUGAUCUCUGAAGAUAAGCAGGGUUGGGCCUGGUUAGUAUUUGGAUGGGAGAUGUCCCAGCUUUAGGCAGGGAGUGGAGGCC
rnacentral:rRNA from 1 species